rnacentral:rRNA from 1 species
GUGGGGAAUAUUGGACAAUGGGGGGAACCCUGAUCCAGCCAUGCCGCGUGUGUGAAGAAGGCCUUUUGGUUGUAAAGCACUUUAAGCGAGGAGGAGGCUACCGAGAUUAAUACUCUUGGAUAGUGGACGUUACUCGCAGAAUAAGCACCGGCUAACUCUGUGCCAGCAGCCGCGGUAAUACAGAGGGUGCAAGCGUUAAUCGGAUUUACUGGGCGUAAAGCGCGCGUAGGUGGCCAAUUAAGUCAAAUGUGAAAUCCCCGAGCUUAACUUGGGAAUUGCAUUCGGUACUGGUUGGCUAGAGUAUGGGAGGGGAUGGUAGAAUUCCAGGUGUAGCGGUGAAAUGCGUAGAGAUCUGGAGGAAUACCGAUGGCGAAGGCAGCCAUCUGACCUAAUACUGACACUGAGGUGCGAAAGCAUGGGGAGCAAACAGGAUUAGAAACCCGUGUAGUCC